GCUGAAGAGGCAGGUGUGAAAUGAGGCUGUUGAAAUGUCAGAUGGUAAAAACAACCAAGAGUUCCAGAUGGGGCAAUUGGAAGAGAAACAUGCUGAAGAUGAUAAUAAGAAAGUUCUGGAUUCUCUCAAGUGGGAGUCCCAUGUCCUCACCUGUGACUUCCAAAUGCAGUCACUGUUCAAGUCUUGUGCAAAGCAGCAUGCCAUGAGGAAGUUCUUCAUUAUCAGGCGUUCCCUCAUUUGACCAGGAGUGUUUGACCAAACCAUAGAGGGUCGGUGUCAUGAGGAGCUCAGAGGAAAUGUCACAGAGCUCUUUGCUGCUGAGUGGGAGGUCAUGAAGAGUUUGGAGUCUGGCUGUGGUGCUGAUACAUAUGAUGGGUUGAUGGAAAGAAGACAAGCCUGCGAGCGAUGCAAUGUGGUGGUGCAUUUGAGGUCUGUGAACGUGAAACAAGUGCCCAAGCAGCUAGCUUGUGUUGAUCUUUGUGCUAGCAUUGCUUCACAAGGCACUGGUGUUUGUUCUGGCUCUACUAGAGGCAGGCGUACACUUAGACUGCAGACCUACUGCCAAUAAUCAUCUUUCUGAAGAGAUUGCUAGGACUGACAGAAAUAACGAGAAGGAGCAAGUUGUGCUGAUCGUGGCCUCCUACCUACUGGUCUGCAAAUGGGGCUUCACCAUGCUGAGCUGCUUCUGAGCACUGCAAAUCCACUGAUUCUGACCACCGUUGACUGUGUUAGCCGCUUUGUUAUCCCAGGAACAUGUCUGGAGAAGAGAGUGCAGCAACAUCUGGAGGAUGGUGAACUGCUAUGGUGAGGAAAACUGCAUGAUCUAAGACAGCAUGGCCAGUCCUCAGAAGCUGAGCUGGAAGGAUCAUUUGGGCAUUCCAGCUGCUGCAGGUGGGCCAGCAUGGCUGUCUGCUGAACUCCCCAUAUCUACAGAUGGAAGAGCUAUUGAGUGGUUAUAGCUGAAAGCCUUGCCUAUCUAAGGAAAUGUCAGCAACAUAUUGAAGGAGAAGGAACAAGGCCUACAGGUCCCCCGGAAUUGUGUGAAGGAAGGACUACUGCUCCAUUGGAACCUGUGGUCUAUGUAUGUCCCCAGCAAGACCUUCACAGAACAUCAGGCAAGGGAUUGUACUGGAAGUUUCAGCAGUGUCUGCCAGGCACAACUGCUCUGGGAAAAGGCCAUCCAGCUGUGGUACCCACAGUUAAAGAAGGGUGUUGAAAAAUUGGAGAUAUUUCAGAGAAGAGCCACAAGAAUGACCAAAAGAUUGGAAAACAUGCCUUAGCAGUGGAGUCCAUCUGCUUAGCUUACCAAGCAGCAAGAAAAGUUUUGAGUACUGCUUCCAAGCCAGUUUUAUAAGGAACGUAAGUUCAAAAACCGAAGUCCCUUUAGGGACUAGUAUAACAAGAACUGGAAGUCAAAGGUUGGAUAAGUUCAUAUUAUAUGCAAGCUUCAACUUUUGACAGUGGACACCACUCUUGGAGCAAAAGUCAGGGUUAUGAUUUGUUCUGUCAUUGUCAAGCAGAGAUUGGAUGCUUUUUCCACCUGAUUUGUGAAGCUAUUCAUUCAGAGCAACCUUGAUGCUGGCAUCCUUUCAGAAGUCAGACCUAGCUAAGAAUAGCUGUUGUCUCUAACUUCAUUAAUUUAUAAAUCAGACAUCUCUCUCUAAUUGUUCCUAAUCUAAAUAAGCAAAAUUUUCAGAACAACUUCUUUCUAGUCCGGAUCCUAAACUCUGCUCUCCAGUUUAACCACAGGAUUGGAUAGGAAAAGCAAGAAUUUGUUGGAUGUAUUUGUUUGUGAGGUUUCGGUCACAUGAGAAGCUUAGAGAUUAGAUUAGCAAAGCCUGCUCAUACAGUUCUCACUAUGGGUCAUUCUGUGCAUUGAUGUGUGGCUUUGGCCAUUAUCCUACCACCUUCUUUAAGAAGAGGUUUUCUCCUGGGCAGCACAAAAACACAUUAGCAAUAGUAAGGAUGUCUGCCCUUCUGGUCCACACAAUCUGCGUGCUCUUCAAGAAGGAAGUCUUCUUGAAAUAUUCUCCAGCCCUUAAAAUAGAAGAUGGUAUGCCAUGUCUCAAGAUUUGCUGAAUUUAGGAUCGAAUCCAAAUGUUCUUUCAAUGUGAUCAAACCUCAAGUUUGGAGGAUGUCUGAGCCUCAAAUUUAGUUUGUUUCCAUUUUAGAAACACUGCUUUCUGGUCUGCUUGUCUAGGACCACUUAAAAGUCUUCAAAUCAAAGCAGAUCUGUGGCUUUCUGUGCUUCCCUGCUGGGCUGCUUUGAUUUCUGAGCUUUUUCUGAGUUUACCAAAGAGAGGUCACUUUGCCUCCUUCUACAGUUAAGGUGUUGUCACUAGGAUGACAUGAAGUUUGGCAAUUCUGUUGACACUUUAGCCUUAAAUAUUUUAUUUCAAGGCUUUUUGCUUUCUCCAGAAGCUUCUUUGUAAGUCUCAGGUUCUGUUAUGAUUGGAUUUGAUUUUGUAUUCUUAGUUUUCCCCACUUCUGUCUCAUUUUUCUCUUUUAAUUCCAAAUAUAUCAUCAUUUUCUCUGGUUGUGUAGGGAAGCAAUACACCCCUGUUCAAGGCAGCACACAACUUUUCAGCACAGAGGUAGUGCCUGUGGCAGCAUUGGGAAGAAUCCAUGAGACAGCAGUGUCAAGCUCUCUGCACUGGCUUUCUGGCAAGGGUUCUCUCCCUGAGCAUGUUUUUUCAUGGGAUUUUCAACAGUAAUGCUUCUAUUCUAGGCUGAUGAAUAAAGAGUGGAAAAUGGGGCACAGACUUUUUUUCCAUUGAACUUUGGUGACUGUCCAGUUUACAGGUAGGUCCUAAACAUUCUCACUGAUAGUGUGCUUUGAUUGAAAUUCACAGUUCCAUCCAAGGUUUUCCUCAAAAGACUGAAUAAGUUGAAUGCAGAAGACAAAGUCAGUUGGAACACCCCAUUUGCUCAGCUCAUCAUUGGGAAUAAAGAGGAAGGUGGGCCAUUGGUUACAAUGGAAGUGUUCUUUUUUUUAGCAUAGAUCUUUGUAGUUUUGGUGUCCCUUAAUGGUUUUGUUUAAGUCUAAAAUACAUUGGUGGAAAUAAAUCAUACCAAUUUCUCCAACAGUAGCUGGAACUGUAGUUGAAAGCUGGUGCUGGGAGCUGAAGAGGAAAAAAUGGGCAUGGAAGAGAAAUGGAAGUGGGUUCUACAUAACUACAGCGUUUUCUCCCAUUAAUUUCUAUGUGUUUCAUUGCAGGCCUCAAGGCAAAGAAUUUUCUAUUUGGGCUGCAGGAGGGUGUGUUGAAGUGUUGGAAGAGGCAGGAUGAGAGAGCUGCUAUGUUGCUUAGGUAGUUGUUCUUAGAAAAGCAUCGUUGGCAAACCAGCACAAUAAUUUUGCAAAAGAGAAAAAGCAACUUGCCCAGGAAACAGAAUUUUGCUGACAAGGUGUUAAGAAAAGAAAUAUCUGCUUUUAUUUAACUCUGUUCUCUAGAGAGAUUUAGCAUUUUGCUAUGUAGCUCUUUCAUACCAAGCUAACUUUUAAAGUAUAGACAGUUUCUCAGCCAACGUACUUUUUAAAGGUGCAAUACUGCUCCAUUUUCAGAAGGUGUUUGAAUCUUGUUUGACAUAUAUUAAAUCUGUUAUUGUUUCUGUCUUACAAUGAGGAUCUGGACUUCAAGGUCUGUAAAAAUAGAGAUGACAUGGUUGAAGCUUACAGGAGUCAGCAACGGACAGUCAUUAAUGAUAGGUCAUUUACCCAAAGUAUCAGAAGAGAUAUCUCACAUGGAUUCAUUUAUACCUCUAGUAGAUUGAUCUCCACGCUCAUCUCUCCAUGCCCAAGGCAUGGCCAGUCAGCAGCUCCAAGGAGGGUAUGCUGUUCAUGCUGGUGCUCCAACUGGAUCAUUGGCAACAGUUUUUAAGACACAUGAUGACAGUGCUAAAAUAGUGUUACAAUGCUAUUAUGAAAAGUCUUCUCCACAGUGGAUCUGGUUGCAAAGGAGUGCUUGGAUUCAGUUUGUUGGUGUGGCUUUUCAGUAAUUAUGGAAGAAGAGGGAAGGGAAGAGGGAGAAUAGAGGUGAGGCUUUGGCCAUCUCUUCAGGAUGGUCUGUUGCCAUUUGGAGACUGUCCUACGGAUGUCUCUCUCUAAAAACCAGGAGAGGGGGGGAAAGCAUUUUUGUAUUCAGGCUCCUAUCAACAUAGGAGCACUUGUAGUUAUCCCCCAUCAAGACACAUUAAGUAAGGAUGCCACACAAGAUUAUGAAAGUGCUGUAUUUUAUGACCUCAAUGCAAAACCUCUAUUAGUUUCAACCUGUUUCUGGUAACGUGUCUAAUACUAAAUUAUCUCUUUUAUGUGGUUUGUGUAUUACAUGCUAACCUCAGAUUGCUUUCAUGUGUUCCACUUUGAGGAGUUCAAGAGUUUUGCAGGAAGAGCAGUAAAAUGUGUUUUUGACAAUCUCUUUAGUUUCUAGUCCAAGCUGAGUUUCUAAUGACAGUUUGAGCAGCAAUGAUUACUUGGAACAGCAGGCGUAAGCAGCUUGUGUGCUGCUGACAUGUGUGAGUGCAUGUGCAUAGGAGGCGACUACUAGGGAAAACCUAUUUGGGAAGAGCUGGUACAGCUCUGGUCAAAGGCUGGAACAGCACAAUGAUGAGCAGAUCAGGAUGGACUACGAAACAGCAUUACAGAGGCCUUGUUAUCUCUGGUUUUUGAGAUAGUGUCAGUACCAGCAUGAUAGUGGUCAUGAAGACUGUGCUUUCCACAGUGCCAUGUGCAUUUCCUAAUCUCUUUCAUUUAAAACUGGGUCUUUUACACCACCUGAACUUACAGUAGUCUUCCAUACGCUACGUGCGUGAAGGAUGAAGUGAGCAGUUACAAGGGGCUGGAUUAACACACAACAUGAAGCAGGAGCAGGGAGACUGAGCCAUGGCAGGGUAACAUGGUGAUUGCAGCAGAGCCAGGGUGAGGAGCAGAGGCAUGCCAGCAUGCCAGGGCCACGUGCCGGGGAUGCCUAUCCCAGACUGCUUAUGGCCAAUGGCUGUCAGUAUGAUGGAUGCCAUAGCGUGCGUUGGCAGACAACAUGUUCUCUAUGGCCUGCCUCCCUCUGCCAUGCAGGAAACAGGGAUCCUAGGGGCAAGGCACUGGGAAGCCCCGAACAUCCCUGUUUGCAGCACCUGCUUUGUUCAUCCAUGCCAUGGGCCCUCCCCAGAGGAAGAGGUGGGACCACUCCUGCCUCUUCCUGAGCAGGAUGAUCUCAGCAUGAGUCACUUGCAGCACGGUAUGGACCCUGUUACUGGCACUGGAAACAGUGCCCAACUAGCAGCUGCAUGGUUCAGCACAUCUCUGACGCAGCUAGGGCAGGGCACCUUCCUAACUGAAGCAUUCAAGGGCAAGGCUUGAGUGUGCUAUAAUUUUGCAUGUAGUUCUUGCUGGAGAACAGGAUGCAGUGAGCAGAAGAGGGUGGGGUUGGUGAAAAUCUGUUUCUCUCAUUCUUGGUGGCCGCUGCGUGUCUGCACAGUGUGCUCUUCUGGGGCUAUAAGGAAAGCUGCAGGAGCUGUGAGCUCUUUCCUAGCGGUGUUAGCUGUAACUCAAAGAGAAAUCUUGGUUCACUGGUGUCUCAGUAGGGUCUGAGUGGCUGAGGAUUAUUGCUGAAAUCUCCAGUCGAGUGCCAGCCAUUUUACUGUGAGAAGCUGCCUUGCUUUUGCUUGAGUCGUCUUCUCAAUAUCUCAUGAGAUUCUCAAAUAUCUCCUACACCAACACCUUCUUUUCCUCACAGAGGUCUACUCUUCCUUUGAGUCCCUGGAAAACACUACCCCAAAGCCAUUUGCUUGGGCUGAGUGACAUGCUGAGCAGUUAAUGAACCAGCACAGCUGUGUUAAAGCAUCUCAGCAAUGAAUACAGGCUAAAAUAGAAGCCACAAGCGGGGAACAUGCAAACCCUUCCUGUGCCAGAGAUGAAAUCCAGAGAAUGCUGGGCUGGAUUGCUGGCUUUUCACGCCUCUCGCUAAUUAAAUCCUAGUCUGUAGUCCACUUGUCCACUCCAUCUGAGCUGGUGGCUUCUUAACAGCUUUGUAGGUGCAUUUCCACUGGGGCAUCUUCCAGAAACAACAGAAACUCACACACACCACCUUUAAGCCAGAGACAUGUAAUUAGGUUGUUUUUCGGAAGGUUGGUUUGCUACAGGCAAAUAGCCCAUCACUAAGUUUGAACGGCCAGCUUGUCCAGUUUUUAACCUCACAAAGAUUUUGUUACAGUUAAUCCUUUACUGAUGGUCCCUGCAUCCUGUUCCAAGUAACUUAAAUGAUACAGCUUAAGUCUAUUUAAAAGGAUGGGUGGAGUACUUGUCCCAUUCAUUCCAGUGAAGAAACAAACCCCGGCUAGCCAAAAGGCUUCAAGUAAGAUUGGGUGAUACUCAGAACACGAAGAUUUUUGGUUUGUAUAACAAUCCAAGUGUGGUGAGUGGAAGAAAGUUGUCUAGUUUUUAAUCAACUCAACAUUUGUGCAGAGCUGCAUGUAGAAGUGGAAUCAGUAUUUACUAUGUAGCCAAUUCUCAUAAUUUUAUCAUGAAUUUUGCAAUGUUAUGCUUUUGGAAAAAAAGAAUAACCCACUAUUAUGUAAGAAAUCUAAUUUUCAUUUAAAAGAAAGAAAGAAAAAAAAGUGUUUCUAGCCCUUGCACUUAUGUAGAGUGUGACCUAAGUACACCCCAAAGUAAAAAUGAACAACAAAAACCCUCCCCCAAACGUUAUGGUUUCUGAGUCAAGCCCUGUACACUCAUGUUCCAUUUUUCAUUUGAUUUUUUUUGUUGUUGGCAUUUCUGCAGUUAUAAGUCAAUGGGUGCCCUGAAGGAAAGAUUUGGUCUUCUUUGCCUGAGCUUGCCCUGCAAAAGGCUAUCGGUACAGCUCACCUGUUCAUGAAGUACCAGAUAGACCCAUCGGAAUCAGAGCAAUCUCUAGUUCCUGAGCUCUGCUUCAGUUUUGCUGGUGAAGCUCAAGUCUGAGGCUGUGCUCUGACCAAUCUCUCCUUCCUUUACUGUAAAGACACGGUGAAAUGGUAAUCCCUUUCUGAAGGAGGAAACAGGAUGUUCCUCUCCCUUGGCCUGGCAGCACUGGCCAGCUGUGCACAGCUGCACACCAGCCCAGAAGCAGAAAGUUCAAGUUCACCCUUCCUAAGCAAGGAUCUAUGCCUUGGGCUCAAGCCAAGCUGGCAACCACCAACAGAGAGAAGCAGCACAAAGCAUAGCAGACCCUGCAUAUAGGACCCACGUUUGCACCAUUGCCAUUGCUCCACCACUGAGCUAGAGAGGCUUUCAUGCACACAAAACUUAAGGACUGUAUUUUGGGCAUGUCUUUGGAAAGGCUUCUAAUCGUUGAAAAGUUCUUCACUUAAAUUCAUCAUCAUCAUCAUCACCGAAUGAGUGACAGGGAUUUAAACCUUAAUAUUGUGUGGUGAUGUGCUGACUGGGAUCUGCAACCUGCUCCCUGUGUCCACAUGGGGUAUGAGGAAUGCCAAGCAGUGCCCACUGUGGUUGCAUACGUCUGUCUGGGCAGAAGAGGGGUGUGUAAAGAAGAUGGUCUGAACUUCAGGAUUGCCCACCUGCUCCUGGGGGUUUGUCUGGAGGACUCAGAUCCUUCCUCCCACUCACCUGUGCAGUAACUGGGUUCUCUUGGUGAAGAUCCACUCCCUUUUUCACAACAGGAUGUAUGAACAGUUUGCAAAAUUUGGAGAAGAAAAAUGGCUGCAGCUCCCUUCAUUGAACUAACUAGUGGGAGGAAGGAAAGAAAAGCCCUGCAGUUAAUUGAAUUAACGAAUUGAAAAGGAAAAUCUCCAGGACACCCCUUGUGACUGGGGUUAGAAAGGCUGUGAUUUUUCCACCCAGCACUGGACAGGCUCCAGGCAAGCUCCAGGAUGAAUUCUUAAUCUGGGAUAGGAACUUUGUUGUCCUGGCUUUAAAUGGUUUAUCAGGAACACAUUCCACAACAAACUACAUCCAGAAAUUCUGGUCUUUUUUAAAGUCAUAAGCAGAACUCGGUGAAUUUUGCUUGGCAGGACCCAGAGAUGGAAAAGAAAGGGCAGAUCAGCAGAAGCAGGCUCAAUUCUCAAAGCACUGUGUUUUUCCACAGAAGAGAGGAGAGAGCAGAACUGUUGGUAGUCAUUUUUCCCUACUUCUCCAACAGAGCCAGCGGUACUGAGGAGCUGCAGCCCUGAUUAUUACUUGCAAGCAUUUAUUAAUGUGUGUAUUCAUAUAAUGAAGUAGAAUCUCUAUACCAGGUUGUAGCCCUUCCCAUUAAGCUUCUUGACUGUGCCUAUUUCUCUUGCAUUGACUCCUUCACGUAGUCCAUCAAUUCUUACAUCUGUGCUAGAGAGCAAAGUUACUCAAAGUUCGGCUACUGCUCGAUUUACCGUGCUUUAUCUGUUCUGCAGUACCCAGCUGUAUUCGUGCUCUCAGCCAGCAGCCCUUCAAGGGCAGCCUGUGCCAUGUUCAGCAGAGGGCUCAGCUGCCUGCCCUGGUCCCGGGACAACAGCCUUCCAAUGGGAACUUACCUUAAUGUAAGUAGCGUGCUCUGAAAUUACACCCUUGCUUACCUUGCGGUAACUUGCUCGUGUAGUCAUGGCCUUAAGGUUUUUCUUUCGUAUCCAUGGCCACAACAUCUAAGCAUUUUAUGGUACAGCAUACACUAAACAUUAAUUUCAAAUUAUUGAGACUAUUUUCAUGACUCAACAACUUUCUAAUGACUGUGUACCUUAUUAAACUCUCGCAGCCCUUUAAUAAGAAAGUUUUCCCUCAUCCCUUGGCAUUUAAACACUGUAUAACUGAAAUGAAAUGCAUAGCUGAAGUAUUUUUUUUUUAGGACACUCGAUUUACAGUGAGCCCAAAGCAGCAAAGGACUCUUUGAAAAUCUCUAGAGUGGACACUCCCAGAGCUGUCUGUAUACACUUCGAAUUAAUUAUUCCCUUCAUGGAAAUUGUACAAGAUGUCCCCUUGCUUCUUUCUGACUGCCUUCCUGCCCUUUUCUGAUAAUCCCUCUCUAUCCUCUGGGCUCUCUCUGG
rnacentral:lncRNA from 1 species